AGAGAGAGAGAGAGAGAGAAUGUCCAAUCCAAUAAUUUUUUUUUUAAGUGAGAAAUUAUAAUAAGAAGACCACGGAAUUACAACACAGAAUAUAAAAUAUCCUCUAAAGCUACAAAACAAAUGUAUACAAACACUAAAGAAAAGAAACUAAUAAUGCAACUCCUUCCAAUCAUACUGAAUAAGAUUCAACAACAUUCCUUCAAAAGCCCCCAAAGCACUACACAUAAAGAGGCCAAGAAAAGUUUCUUAUCCCACGCCUUUUCGAUGAAAUUAGACAAUUUUAUGAUGUUACCCAUCAUAACGUUAAAAGUAAAAUUUGACUGUCAAUUGCGAGUCAUAUGUAUCAAGCAGGCAGGGAAAUAAAUCCUGCAGAGUACAAAUUUAAGAAUUCAUUU
rnacentral:misc_RNA from 1 species